rnacentral:rRNA from 1 species
GAUGAACGCUGGCGGCGUGCCUAAUACAUGCAAGUCGAGCGAACGGACGAGAAGCUUGCUUUUCUGAUGUUAGCGGCGGACGGGUGAGUAACACGUGGAUAACCUACCUAUAAGACUGGGAUAACUUCGGGAAACCGGAGCUAAUACCGGAUAAUAUUUUGAACCGCAUGGUUCAAAAGUGAAAGACGGUCUUGCUGUCACUUAUAGAUGGAUCCGCGCUGCAUUAGCUAGUUGGUAAGGUAACGGCUUACCAAGGCAACGAUGCAUAGCCGACCUGAGAGGGUGAUCGGCCACACUGGAACUGAGAAACGGUCCAGACUCCUACGGGAGGCAGCAGUAGGGAAUCUUCCGCAAUGGGCGAAAGCUUGACGGAGCAACGCCGCGUGAGUGAUGAAGGUCUUCGGAUCGUAGAACUCUGUUAUUAGGGAAGAACAUAUGUGUAAGUAACUGUGCACAUCUUGACGGUACCUAAUCAGAAAGCCACGGCUAACUACGUG